AGUAACGCGUAGGUAAUCUACCCUUAUGACUGGGAUAACAUUGGGAAACUGGUGCUAAUACCGGAUACACUUCUAUACUGCGGGGUAAAGGAGGAAAGGUGGCCUCUUCAUGAAAGCUACCGUAUAGGGAUGAGCCUGCGUACCAUUAGCUAGUAGGCGGGGUAACGGCCCACCUAGGCAACGAUGGUUAGCGGGUCUGAGAGGAUGAUCCGCCACACUGGAACUGGAACACGGACCAG
rnacentral:rRNA from 1 species